UGUGGUUUUGUGAGAGACUAAUUAAGGACAUUUGUUUGGCAUAAACACAUUCACGACAAAUACACAACUUAAGCUAGUUAC